AUUGAACGCUGGCGGCAGGCUUAACACAUGCAAGUCGAGCGGGGUGAUGGUGCUUGCACUAUCACUUAGCGGCGGACGGGUGAGUAAUGCUUAGGAAUCUGCCUAUUAGUGGGGGACAACAUCUCGAAAGGGAUGCUAAUACCGCAUACGUCCUACGGGAGAAAGCAGGGGAUCACUUGUGACCUUGCGCUACUAGAUGAGCCUAAGUCGGAUUAGCUAGUUGGUGGGGCAAAGGCCUAACAAGGCGACGAUCUGUAGCGGGGCUGAGAGGAUGAUCCGCCACACUGGGACUGAGACACGGCCCAGACUCCUACGGGAGGCAGCAGUGGGGAAUAUUGGACAAUGGGGGGAACCCUGAUCCAGCCAUGCCGCGUGUGUGAAGAAGGCCUUAUGGUUGUAAAGCACUUUAAGCGAGGAGGAGGCUCUUUUGGUUAAUACCCAAGAUGAGUGGAGGUUACUCGCAGAAUAAGCACCGGCUAACUCUGUGCCAGCCGCCGCAGUAA
rnacentral:rRNA from 1 species